GCUUGAAUGUAUACCACAAAUAAAAAUACAGUAACUCCUCACUUAAAGUCAUCCAGGUUAACACUGUUUCCUUGCUGAUCAAUCAGAGAACAUGCUUGUUUAAAAUUGCACAAAGCUCCCUUAUAACGUUGUUUGGCAGCUGCCUGCUU